rnacentral:rRNA from 1 species
AAAGCCGGAGGAAGUGGGGAUGAUGUCAAGUCAGCAUGGCCUUUAUAUCCUGGGCUACACACACGCUACAAUGGCCAACGACAAUAGGUUGCUAAGCCGCGAGGUGGCGCCAAUCCAUAAAGUUGGUCUCAGUUCAGAUUGUAGGCUGCAACCCGCCUGCAUGAAGAUGGAGUUGCUAGUAAACGCAGGUCAGCCAUACUGCGUUGAAUACGUUCCCGGGGCUU